rnacentral:rRNA from 1 species
UACGUAGGGGGCAAGCGUUGUCCGGAUUUAUUGGGCGUAAAGAGCGUGUAGGCGGCGCGGUAAGUCGGGUGUGAAAUCUCGGAGCUUAACUCCGAAACUGCAUUCGAUACUGCCGUGCUUGAGGACUGGAGAGGAGACUGGAAUUUACGGUGUAGCGGUGAAAUGCGUAGAUAUCGUAAGGAAGACCAGUGGCGAAGGCGGGUCUCUGGACAGUUCCUGACGCUGAGGCACGAAGGUCAGGGGAGCAAACGGG